GACGUAGGGCGCGAGCGUUGUCCGGAUUUAUUGGGCGUAAAGAGCUCGUAGGCGGCUUGUCGCGUCGACCGUGAAAACUUGGGGCUCAACCCCAAGCCUGCGAUCGAUACGGGCAGGCUCGAGUUCGGUAGGGGAGACUGGAGUUCCUGGUGUAGCGGUGAAAUGCGCAGAUAUCAGGAGGAACACCGAUGGCGAAGGCAGGUCUCUGGGCCGAUACUGACGCUGAGGAGCGAAAGCGUGGGGAGCGAACAGG
rnacentral:rRNA from 1 species